rnacentral:rRNA from 1 species
AUGAACGCUGGCGGCGCGCCUAACACAUGCAAGUCGAACGGCACCCCUCUCCGGAGGGAAGCGAGUGGCGAACGGCUGAGUAACACGUGGAGAACCUGCCCCCUCCCCCGGGAUAGCCGCCCGAAAGGACGGGUAAUACCGGAUAACCCCGGGCGCCGCAUGGCGCCCGGGCUAAAGCCCCGACGGGAGGGGAUGGCUCCGCGGCCCAUCAGGUAGACGGCGGGGUGACGGCCCACCGUGCCGACAACGGGUAGCCGGGUUGAGAGACCGACCGGCCAGAUUGGGACUGAGACACGGCCCAGACUCCUACGGGAGGCAGCAGUGGGGAAUCUUGCGCAAUGGGGGGAACCCUGACGCAGCGACGCCGCGUGCGGGACGGAGGCCUUCGGGUCGUAAACCGCUUUCAGCAGGGAAGAGUCAAGACUGUACCUGCAGAAGAAGCCCCGGCUAACUACGUGCCAGCAGCCGCGGUAAUACGUAGGGGGCGAGCGUUAUCCGGAUUCAUUGGGCGUAAAGCGCGCGUAGGCGGCCCGGCAGGCCGGGGGUCGAAGCGGGGGGCUCAACCCCCCGAAGCCCCCGGAACCUCCGCGGCUUGGGUCCGGUAGGGGAGGGUGGAACACCCGGUGUAGCGGUGGAAUGCGCAGAUAUCGGGUGGAACACCGGUGGCGAAGGCGGCCCUCUGGGCCGAGACCGACGCUGAGGCGCGAAAGCUGGGGGAGCGAACAGGAUUAGAUACCCUGGUAGUCCCAGCCGUAAACGAUGGACGCUAGGUGUGGGGGGACGAUCCCCCCGUGCCGCAGCCAACGCAUUAAGCGUCCCGCCUGGGGAGUACGGCCGCAAGGCUAAAACUCAAAGGAAUUGACGGGGGCCCGCACAAGCAGUGGAGUAUGUGGUUUAAUUCGAAGCAACGCGAAGAACCUUACCAAAUCUUGACAUCCUCUGACCCCUCUAGAGAUAGAGUUUUCCCCUUCGGGGGACAGAGUGACAGGUGGUGCAUGGUUGUCGUCAGCUCGUGUCGUGAGAUGUUGGGUUAAGUCCCGCAACGAGCGCAACCCCCGCCGCGUGUUGCCAUCGGGUGAUGCCGGGAACCCACGCGGGACCGCCGCCGUCAAGGCGGAGGAGGGCGGGGACGACGUCAAGUCAUCAUACCCCUUAUGCCCUGGGCUGCACACGUGCUACAAUGGCCGGUACAGAGGGAUGCCACCCCGCGAGGGGGAGCGGAUCCCGGAAAGCCGGCCCCAGUUCGGAUUGGGGGCUGCAACCCGCCCCCAUGAAGUCGGAGUUGCUAGUAAUCGCGGAUCAGCAUGCCGCGGUGAAUACGUUCCCGGGCCUUGUACACACCGCCCGUCACACCACCCGAGUCGUCUGCACCCGAAGUCGCCGGCCCAACCGAGAGGGGGGAGGCGCCGAAGGUGUGGAGGGUGAGGGGGGUG